GACGAACGCUGGCGGCGUGCUUAACACAUGCAAGUCGAACGGCAAGGCCCUGCUUUUGUGGGGUGCUCGAGUGGCGAACGGGUGAGUAACACGUGAGUAACCUGCCCUUGACUUUGGGAUAACUUCAGGAAACUGGGGCUAAUACCGGAUAGGAGCUCCUGCUGCAUGGUGGGGGUUGGAAAGUUUCGGCGGUUGGGGAUGGACUCGCGGCUUAUCAGCUUGUUGGUGGGGUAGUGGCUUACCAAGGCUUUGACGGGUAGCCGGCCUGAGAGGGUGACCGGCCACAUUGGGACUGAGAGACGGCCCAGACUCCUACGGGAGGCAGCAGUGGGGAACAUUGCACAAUGGGCGGAAGCGUGAUGCAGCAACGCCGCGUGCGGGAUGACGGUCUUCGGGUUGUAAACCGCUUUCGCCUGUGACGAAGCGUGAGUGACGGUAAUGGGUAAAGAAGCACCGGCUAACUACGUG
rnacentral:rRNA from 1 species